UAAUUCUUCAGCCAAACAUUUGUGAUAUUUAAUAAACAUUUUUUUGUUGAUGGCUACUAUAUAUAUUUACCAUCAAAAGCACAUUGGCAAGUCGUAACUAAUGAGUGCGCCGCCAUCUUGACUUUCUAAAAACCAUAACUGUCCGAUAAAUACAACGGAAUCUUAAAUGAAAUAGCACCUACCUCAAAAACUUUAUUUUAAUUAAAUGAUGUCCAAAUU
rnacentral:lncRNA from 1 species